GACGGGAGCUUGCUCCCUUAGGUCAGCGGCGGACGGGUGAGUAACACGUGGGUAACCUGCCUGUAAGACUGGGAUAACUCCGGGAAACCGGGGCUAAUACCGGAUGCUUGAUUGAGCCGCAUGGUUCAAUUAUAAAAGGUGGCUUUCAGCUACCACUUACAGAUGGACCCGCGGCGCAUUAGCUAGUUGGUGAGGUAACGGCUCACCAAGGCGACGAUGCGUAGCCGACCUGAGAGGGUGAUCGGCCACACUGGGACUGAGACACGGCCCAGACUCCUACGGGAGGCAGCAGUAGGGAAUCUUCCGCAAUGGACGAAAGUCUGACGGAGCAACGCCGCGUGAGUGAUGAAGGUUUUCGGAUCGUAAAACUCUGUUGUUAGGGAAGAACAAGUACCGUUCGAAUAGGGCGGCACCUUGACGGUACCUAACCAGAAAGCCACGGCUAACUACGUGCCAGCAGCCGCGGUAAUACGUAGGUGGCAAGCGUUGUCCGGAAUUAUUGGGCGUAAAGCGCGCGCAGGCGGUUUCUUAAGUCUGAUGUGAAAGCCCCCGGCUCAACCGGGGAGGGUCAUUGGAAACUGGGGAACUUGAGUGCAGAAGAGGAGAGUGGAAUUCCACGUGUAGCGGUGAAAUGCGUAGAGAUGUGGAGGAACACCAGUGGCGAAGGCGACUCUCUG
rnacentral:rRNA from 1 species